CCCUUAGAUGUUCUCGGCCGCACACGCGCUACACUGAAAGAGGCAACGUGUUUGCCUGAUUCGAAAGAAUUGGGUAACCCCCUAAUCUCUUUCGUGCUGGGGAUUGGGGUUUGCAAUUAUCCUUCAUGAACGAGGAAUUCCCAGUAAGUGCGAGUCAUUAUCUCGCGCUGACUACGUCCCUGCCCUUUGUACACACCGCCCGUCGCUACUACCGAUUGAAUGAUUUAGUGAGGACUUCGGACUGAGUCCAAUGCGGCUUUCGGGCUGCGUUGGUAUUUCGGAAAGAUGUCCAAACUGUAUCAUUUAGAGGAAGUAAAAGUCGUAACA
rnacentral:rRNA from 1 species